rnacentral:rRNA from 1 species
CGGAGGGUGCAAGCGUUAUCCGGAUUCACUGGGUUUAAAGGGGUGCGUAGGUGGGCAGGUAAGUCAGUGGUGAAAUCUUUGGGCUUAACCCGAAAACUGCCAUUGAUACUAUUUGUCUUGAAUAUUGUGGAGGUCAGCGGAAUAUGUCAUGUAGCGGUGAAAUGCUUAGAUAUGACAUAGAACACCAAUUGCGAAGGCAGCUGGCUACACAUAUAUUGACACUGAUGCACGAAAGCGUGGGGGAUCAAACAGGAUUAGAUACCCUGGUAGUCCACGCCCUAAACGAUGGAUACUCGACAUACGCGAUAUACUGUGUGUGUCUGAGCGAAAGCAUUAAGUAUCCCACCUGGGAAGUACGAUCGCAAGAUUG